rnacentral:rRNA from 1 species
UGGGGAAUAUUGGACAAUGGGCGCAAGCCUGAUCCAGCAAUGCCGCGUGUGUGAAGAAGGCCUUCGGGUUGUAAAGCACUUUUAUCAGGAGCGAAAUCUGCAGGGCUAAUACCCAUGCAGUCUGACGGUACCUGAGGAAUAAGCACCGGCUAACUCCGUGCCAGCAGCCGCGGUAAUACGGAGGGUGCAAGCGUUAAUCGGAAUUACUGGGCGUAAAGCGUGCGUAGGCGGUUCGUUAAGUCUGUUGUGAAAGCCCCGGGCUCAACCUGGGAAUGGCAAUGGAUACUGGCGAGCUAGAGUGUGUCAGAGGAUGGUGGAAUUCCCGGUGUAGCGGUGAAAUGCGUAGAGAUCGGGAGGAACAUCAGUGGCGAAGGCGGCCAUCUGGGACAACACUGACGCUGAGGCACGAAAGCGUGGGGAGCAAACA